rnacentral:rRNA from 1 species
CUAGAGGAUGGACCCGCGGUGCAUUAGCUAGUUGGUGAGGUAACGGCUCACCAAGGCCACGAUGCAUAGCCGACCUGAGAGGGUGAUCGGCCACACUGGGACUGAGACACGGCCCAGACUCCUACGGGAGGCAGCAGUAGGGAAUCUUCGGCAAUGGACGAAAGUCUGACCGAGCAACGCCGCGUGAGUGAAGAAGGUUUUCGGAUCGUAAAACUCUGUUGUUAGAGAAGAACAAGGAUGAGAGUAGAACGUUCAUCCCUUGACGGUAUCUAACCAGAAAGCCACGGCUAACUACGUGCCAGCAGCCGCGGUAAUACGUAGGUGGCAAGCGUUGUCCGGAUUUAUUGGGCGUAAAGCGAGCGCAGGCGGUUUCUUAAGUCUGAUGUGAAAGCCCCCGGCUCAACCGGGGAGGGUCAUUGGAAACUGGGAGACUUGAGUGCAGAAGAGGAGAGUGGAAUUCCAUGUGUAGCGGUGAAAUGCGUAGAUAUAUGGAGGAACACCAGUGGCGAAGGCGGCUCUCUGGUCUGUAACUGACGCUGAGGCUCGAAAGCGUGGGGAGCGAACAGGAUUAGAUACCCUGGUAGUCCACGCCGUAAACGAWRARUGSUAAGUGUUGGAGGGUUUCCGCCCUUCAGUGCUGCAGCAAACGCAUAAG